UACGUAGGGGGCAAGCGUUGUCCGGAUUUAUUGGGCGUAAAGAGCGUGUAGGUGGCUAAUCAGGUCAGCUGUGAAAACUCGAGGCUCAACCUCGAGACGUCGGUUGAAACCGUUUGGCUAGAGUCCGGAAGAGGAGAGUGGAAUUCCUGGUGUAGCGGUGAAAUGCGCAGAUAUCAGGAAGAACACCCGUGGCGAAGGCGGCUCUCUAGUACGGUACUGACGCUGAGACGCGAAAGCGUGGGGAGCGAACAGG
rnacentral:rRNA from 1 species